rnacentral:tRNA from 1 species
GACCUACAUCCCCUCAGAUGGUAGAGCGCUCGCUUAGCAUGCGAGAGGUACUGGGGUCGAUACCCAGCAUCUCCA